CUUUGGUCGUUUUGUGGCUUGGGUAGUGGAUGCCAUUUUUGUUUUCUGGAUGCCGGGAGUUUCAUUCUUCUUUUUAGAGAUUAUUCAGUGGUGUGUUUAUCUGGAAUUGAUGCCUCAGGUGAGUGUUUUGUAUCUUUGAGGUACUUAACCAAGCCAUGCUGAAUCUCGUAUUGGGUGCUGUGGUUUAAGUCUAGGUUGAGACCAAGCAAGGUUGGGCUGGGCAGUCUAGGAGGGCAUGCUCGGUGGUCUCAGGCUCGUCACAUUCUUCGCAAUUUGGGCUCAGCUGAGGCAUCAGCCUAGCUAGUUGUGCCUUUAGUCUAUUGUGCCCCGUUCUUAACCUGAAGAGGAUUCUUGUGAUUGUUCUUGACUUGUGUUGGUGCCAUUUUAUGGGUCCGGUACUGUUUGAAUAUGGCUGUUUGUUCUGACGUGGCUAAGGGGUUGUAGGCCCUAGUAGGGGAUUUUUCUGGCAAGUUUUGGCGUGAUGCUAGAGAGUCCGCUCUCUCAUUUCCCGGAAUCCCGACGUGACUUGGGAUCCAGCAGAUUCUAGUCUGGGUUCCUGAGCUUUUUAAGUUCAAUGCUGUUUGAGUUAUUGAUUGGAUGACUUGAUUUUUUCCUUCAUCAGGGUAAGCCAGUGCUGCAACUACUGAUUUGGAGUCGGUAAAGAUGACUAGUUCCUCCAUUUCACCUGUGUGGUUGUAUGCCAGUUCCAUGGCCCUGUGGAUGGCAUAAGCUUCUGCUGAAAAUAUCGACGUCCCUUCUGCCAGACUGCCCGUUUCUUCGAUGUUCAGCGUGGGAAGGAUUGCCGCAUAGGUCGUAUGUUUUUUUCCUUCAUUAAGUGAGCCCUCUGUGUAAGCCUCUGUGGCAUUUUGCCUUUGCGUUUUGUACUCGAAGAAUAGUGCUUUGGCCUUUGUUUGGUUGGCUAGGGCUUCUGUUUUGCUUAUUUGUAAGAAGUCUAGGAUAAUCGGUGAUUUUGACCAUGGCGGAAGGGUGUGUGGCAGAGCACCUUGAUCUUUAUCUUCUUGGAAUAGGUUGAGGUUGGCCAUGAUUGUGUGGGAAGUUGCUUGGUACAGAGCAGGGGUGUUGAAGUCCUUCCAGCUUAUGGGGUUUCUUCUUAGGUUUUGGCACGGUUUGAACAUGGGGUGGUUUGGUUGCUUCUCUACUCUGAUCAGGUAUCUACCUGACAGCCAUGUUUUCCUCACUGAUAGUGGUUGUAGGUCCAGUUCUAGGAGCAUUUCUUUUAUUGGCGUGGAUUGGGGAGCGUUUAGGAUUAUCCUCAUCAUGCUAUUUUGAAUGGCUUCUAUUUUUUUCUGUCUGCUUUGGCUCGAAGUGCCAAACACCAUGAUGCCGUAAUCGAUCCGACUUCGCACUAGAGCUUUGUACAUUAUGAUCAGUGAGGCUGUGCUAGGGCCGUGUUUUGUGUUGCCUAGAAUUUUGAACAGGUUUUUAAGUUUCACAGUUUUGCUGAUCACGGCUUCGGUUUGUUUGUUCCAGCGUAGACCUUUGUCGAAGUACACACCUAAGUGCUUUAUUUCGCUCACUUCCGGGAUUUUUGAUCCUGCUAUAAACAGUAGAGGGUUUGUUUGAUCUUUCCUUUGUCUUGUAAAGUUGAUUAGGCUAGAUUUUGGGGCUGAAAAUUUGAACCUCCAUUUCUUGCUCCAUUCCGUGCAUUUGUCUAGGUAUGGUGUUAACUUAGUUUCAGCUUCACUUCCGUCUUUUGCGUAUGUGUGGAAUUCUAUAUCAUCAGCAAAUAGUAGUGUUUGUCCUGGUUCGGGAAGAGAUGGGAAGUCGUCCAGCAUGAUUGAGAACAGCAGUGGGCUGAGUGGAGAUCCUUGCGGUACCCCUACUUUUAGUUCACGGUCUUCCGAGGUAGUAUUGCCGAUCCUAACAUUGUAAGUUCUAUUGCGGAGUAGGUUUCUUGUCCAGUGUAGGAUUUUCCCAGUGAUGCCUUUCUUGCUUAGUUUGUAGAGAAGGCCCUGGAUCCAUGUUGUGUCGAAUGCUUUGGAUAUGUCUA